GAGUACUUUAAAUGCAGCAUCGGUGAC
rnacentral:piRNA from 1 species